rnacentral:rRNA from 1 species
UAAUACGUAGGGGGCAAGCGUUGUUCGGAUUUACUAGGCCUAAAGCGGGUGUAGGGGUUUUACCAAGUCAAAUGUAAAAGUCUUCGGCUUAACUGAAGAAGGUCAUUUGAAACUGGUAGGAUUGAGUAUAGAGGGGGGAAAUGGAAUUCCCGGUGGAGCGGUGAAAUGCGUUGAUAUCGGGAAGAACACCAGUGGCGAAGGCGAUUUCCUAAUCUAAUACUGACCCUGAGACCCGAAAGCUAGGGGAGCGAACAGGAUUAGAUACCCUGGUAGUCCUAGCUGUCAACGAUGCACACUAGAUGUAUCUCGAUUUUCGGGAUGUGUUGAAGCGAAGGCGUUAAGUGUGCCGCCUGGGGAGUACGGUCGCAAGGCUG